rnacentral:rRNA from 1 species
GACGUAGGAGGCGAGCGUUGUCCGGAAUCAUUGGGCGUAAAGAGCGCGCAGGCGGCUUGGCAAGUCGGGUGUGAAAUCCCGGGGCUCAACCCCGGGACUGCAUUCGAUACUGUCAGGCUAGAGGUAGGUAGGGGAGAUCGGAAUUCCUGGUGUAGCGGUGAAAUGCGCAGAUAUCAGGAGGAACACCGGUGGCGAAGGCGGAUCUCUGGGCCUUACCUGACGCUCAGGCGCGAAAGCUAGGGGAGCGAACAGG